rnacentral:rRNA from 2 species
UGCUACGAGUGAAUGGAUUGGCCUAAUAUAGGAUAAAAGGCGCUAGACUGCGAAAAAAACCAACGGCAUCCGCGACAUAUUGGUUUGUACCUUUAAGGCUGAAAAGCCGAUACUUAUAUGACCUUAUAGCUAAAAGAUAAAGUUUCUUUAGACUUUUAGUAUAAUUUUUUUAAAAUAUAAGUUUUAUACUCAAGCAACUGAAACAUCUUAUUACUUGAAGGAAAAGAAAUCAAUCGAGAUUGCGUGUGUAGCAGCGAGUGAAAGCGCAAAAGCCUAUACAAACAAACAGAAAGCUAAAACGUAUGGAAAGGCGUACUAAAAAAGGUGACAGUCCUGUAGGCUAAAAAUGUAAUGUUGGUUGAGUUCGACGUAUAUUGUCGAAUAAAAGGGAAACCUCUCUCAAGGCUAAAUAUAAUAUUAGGACCGAUAGUGAACAAGUACCGUGAGGGAAAUCUGAAAAGUCGUAGUGACUUAACUAUGUUGAAACAGAGCCUGAAACUCGUAGCGAAUAAAGACACUUCGUUAAGCAAAGUUUAAUACAGUGGUGCCUUUUGAAUCAUGCGCUGAUGACUUUGUGUUUGAUUGUGGUUUAACUUGCUAAAGGUAAGCCUCCUAAUAGAAAAAAAACAACUAACGCAAGACGCGAAGCAAAGAGAGCUUUUUUAAGCCAAGAUGAAGAGCCGCGAAAGGGGUUUGGAGGUCUAAAGCAGUUCACGUUGCAACGUGUUUGUAUGAGCUUAGAAAAGAAGCGAAAUACUAAACGCUCUUUGCAAUAUCUCGUUUCUCACGAAACCUGUUUAGGCAGGGCGCUAAAAUAAAAAGUUAGCUAGAGAUGUAAAGCACUGUAAUAUUGAUGGGAAAGAAAUUUUUACUGAAGUUUUGCAAACUCUGAAUUCUCGGCUAAUAUAAAUAGCAGUCAGUCGGUACGGGACAAGCUGUAUUCGACAAGAGGGAAACAGCCCAGACUAUAGAAUAAGGCCUGCAAGCGUAAACUAAGUGAAAAAGGAAGUUGUUGUGCAAUAAAGCGUAGGACGUUUGAUUAGCAGCAUCGAUCGUUUAAAGAAAGCGUAAUAGCUCACUACGUUAGUACAGUAGCGCCGACAAUUUAACCAGACUAAGUUUAUCGCCCAUUUCAUAGCUAGCAUGUAAAGUGUUGGGGUAGUGAGACGAACCAUAUAUAAAAAAAGCUCUGUCGGUAAGAUUUUGUGAUAUAUUGGUUGUGAUUAUAUCAGCUAUAGUAACUAAAAAUUGAGUUUGCUUUGUAUUGGUUGUGAUUAUUCCAGCUAUAGUAACCUAAUAUUCAGUAAAGAAAAUCUCAAAGAUCGAAAGUCCAAGGUUUCUUAGACAACUCUAGAAGAUCUAAAACGACAACGUAUCCUAAGCUGUAUAAAGACGGCGAUGGGUGGCAACUAAAAAGUCUAAACGUCUGUGUUUACGCAAAAGUCUGGGUGAAAAUCAAGCUGGUAAACCGAAGAAAUGACGUUUAUUGAUCUAGCCUCGUAGGUGAAUAACUUCGUGAGUAAAUACAGCUGGAAAACAAAAAUUUCAAGGCUAUUGAUUUAGUUGCCCUUAACGUACUUAAACUGACACAGGUGGACAAGUAAAUUUUACUAAGAUUAAGUCAUAAAAACCCGUAAGGAACUCGGCAAAUUACACUCGUACUUUAGAAACAAGAGUGGCAACUAUUGAAAAAUAGUAGUCUCAGAAAAUCGAGGAGGGCGACUGUUUACUCAAAACACAGGGUUCUGCAAACUUGUAAUAGGACGUAUAGAAUCUGACGUUUGUCAAGAGCCGCCAACUUAAAAAAAAUGAUGCAAAGUUCAUUUUUUCAAGGCGUGGUUAUCGACCGCCGUAACUAUAACGGUGUUAACAGUAGCGAAAUUCCUAGGCAUUUAAUUGGUGUCCUGCACGAAUAACGUAACGAUCUUCCUACUGUCUCGCGGGUUUAGGCUGUGAAAUAAGAAUGCCGGUCCAAAUACCGGCUAAAAUCUCCAAGACGAUAAGACCCUAUGAAGCUUUACUGUAACUUAACAUUGCUGUAGACUAUUCGCUUUAUAGUAAUAGGCGGGAGUUUGUUGUAUAACUUUAAGUUAUACAAUAACGUUCCUGGAAAACCGCUAGGCUAAUAAUCGGCAGCUCAUCUGUGAGAAAGUGUUUGGUGGGCAGUUUAUCUGGGGCGGAUACUGGCUAAAAGGUAACGCCAGUGUGCAAAGGUUAGUUCAACAAAGUCGGAAACUUUGUGUAGAGCGCAAUAGUAUUAAGCUAGCCUGACUACAAGACCUACAAGUCGAGUAUGGGACGCAAGUCUGUUAUAGUGACCCCUUGAGUGGAAAAGCGCGGGAUCAACGGAUCAAAGUUACUCUAGGGAUAACAGCGUUAUCUUGGCCUAUAGUCCAUAUAGAAGCCAAUGUUUGCGACCUCGAUGUCGACUUUGGACUUCCUCGAGCUGUAGACGGUUCGAAGGGUGUGACUGUUCUUCACAUAAAGUCCUACGUGAGUUGGGUUUAAUCCGUAGAAAUACAGGAUUGAUUCUAUCUGGAGAUUUCAAAUACAUAACAAAAUAACUGAGGGUUAGACUUCAUUAGUACGAAAGGAUCUUGUAAGUCCAAGCCGCUGGUUUAGCAGUUGUUUUAAUACAAGCAUUGCUGCGACGCUACGCUUGAAAAGCUAAUCGCUGAAACCAUAUAAAGCGAGAAGCUUUCCCGAGAAGUCAUUGUAAAUCGCAAUUAGUUAUUGCGUAAAUAGGUUAAGGGUGUAAUACUGGAGACAGUUUUAGCCACUUAAAACUAAAA